UAUUUAGGUCAGAGGCACAGGUUGGUAAUGCAGUCUCAGGUUAACUAAUCCUCCUCCUUAUUGUCUAAAUGGAGAGGCGGUGGAUCAUCUGCCGGGCUGUGAUCCUUACCUGCAUAGAGAGGUAUAAAGAGACCCUUUGCAGCAGGCAAACAGGACUUGCAGCUGACAGAAGGCAUUUUGCCAGGAGCCAAGGGAUAAAGAUGUGAUUUCCAAAUAUGUCCAGCCACGGACCUGACCCUGUGUUGUCAAGGGUCGCACUCUUCAUCACCUUAGGGAAGAUGGAUUCAUGUCAAAGCAAAUGCUUGGGACAGAACUCAGAACUGAUAUGAAGCAUUAUGACAGACCCCUGGCAACAGUGGAUCAGAAACAGUUCUCCUGGUGUCUUCACCUCCUCUAUUGGAAAGAGGACCUGGCCAACAUAGCAGUGAGAAACCCUGAUACCAGGGCCUUAUUGGGUCCUGACUCUGGGCAGGGAAAGAGUAAAAGUAAGCUACCUACAAUGAAAGAAUGGAGACAAUAUGAAAGAGGCAAAGUUGUUUCCUUGACCUCUUGAGCAGCCUAACCCUAUAUCCUGUGAUUGUGAUGGCUUUUCACUCUCUUUCUGGAGUUUUGGAUAGGGGCAGUUUAGUUUAAACAUACUCCUCCUGAAGUCUCCAUUCUUCAUUUUUUUAUCAUUAAAUACCUAUCUGACAAUUUUUUCACAGUUUUUUUUUUUCCUCAUGAAAUGAGGUUGGCCAAAACAUAUCCAAUGAAAGAAUCAACAUUUCCUAAAAGAAUCUGGAAAACAAAAGUUUGUG